ensembl:rRNA 5S_rRNA 5S ribosomal RNA
GUCUACGGCCAUACCACCCUGAACAUGCCCAAUCUCGUCUGAUCUCAGAAGCUAAGCAGGGUCCAGCCUGGUAAGAUAGGCGCAUGUCCACU